AGGGCGCACGGUGGAUGCCUUGGCACUAGGAGCCGAAGAAGGACGUGACAAACGACGAUAUGCCUUGGGUAGCUGUAAGUAAGCGAUGAUCCAGGGAUUUCCGAAUGGGGGAACCCAACAGGUACUACCUGUUACCCAUAUCUGUUAAGGAUAUGAGGAGGAAGACGCAGUGAACUGAAACAUCUAAGUAGCUGCAGGAAGAGAAAGCAAAAGCGAUUGCCUUAGUAGCGGCGAGCGAAACGGCAGGAGGGCAAACCGAAGAGUUUACUCUUCGGGGUUGUAGGACUGCAAUGUGGACUCAAAGAUUAUAGAAGAAUGAUAUGGGAAGAUCAGCCAAAGAGAGUGAGAGCCUCGUAUUUUAAAUAGUCUUUGUACCUAGCAGUAUCCUGAGUACGGCGGGACACGUGAAAUCCCGUCGGAAUCUGGGAGGACCAUCUCCCAACCCUAAAUACUCCCUAGUGACCGAUAGUGAACCAGUACCGUGAGGGAAAGGUGAAAAGCACCCCGGGAGGGGAGUGAAAUAGAACCUGAAACCGUGUGCCUACAACAAGUUCGAGCCCGUUAAUGGGUGAGAGCGUGCCUUUUGUAGAAUGAACCGGCGAGUUACGUUAUGAUGCGAGGUUAAGUUGAAGAGACGGAGCCGUAGGGAAACCGAGUCUGAAUAGGGCGAAUUAGUAUCAUGACGUAGACCCGAAACCAUGUGACCUACCCAUGAGCAGGUUGAAGGUGCGGUAAGACGCACUGGAGGACCGAACCAGGGCACGUUGAAAAGUGCUUGGAUGACUUGUGGGUAGCGGAGAAAUUCCAAACGAACUUGGAGAUAGCUGGUUCUCUCCGAAAUAGCUUUAGGGCUAGCGUCGACAUAAAGAUUCUUGGAGGUAGAGCACUGUUUGGGUGAGGGGUCCAUCCCGGAUUACCAAUCUCAGAUAAACUCCGAAUGCCAAUGAAUUAUGGUCGGCAGUCAGACUGCGAGUGCUAAGAUCCGUAGUCGAAAGGGAAACAGCCCAGACCACCAGCUAAGGUCCCAAAAUAAUUGUUAAGUGGAAAAGGAUGUGGGGUUGCACAGACAACUAGGAUGUUAGCUUAGAAGCAGCUAUUCAUUCAAAGAGUGCGUAAUAGCUCACUAGUCGAGUGACCCUGCGCCGAAAAUGUACCGGGGCUAAAACAAUUUACCGAAGCUGUGGAUACCUUUAUAGGUAUGGUAGGAGAGCGUUCUAUGUGUGAAGAAGGUAUACCGUGAGGAGUGCUGGAACGCAUAGAAGUGAGAAUGCCGGUAUGAGUAGCGAAAGACAGGUGAGAAUCCUGUCCACCGUAAGACUAAGGUUUCCAGGGGAAGGCUCGUCCGCCCUGGGUUAGUCGGGACCUAAGGAGAGACCGAAAGGUGUAUCCGAUGGACAACAGGUUGAUAUUCCUGUACUAGAGUAUGUAGUGAUGGAGGGACGCAGUAGGCUAACUAAAGCAGACGAUUGGAAGUGUCUGUCUAAGCAGUGAGGUGUGAACUGAGUCAAAUGCUUAGUUCUAUAACAUUGAGCUGUGAUGGGGAGCGAAGUUUAGUAGCGAAGUUAGUGACGUCACACUGCCAAGAAAAGCUUCUAGCGUUUAAACAUACUCUACCCGUACCGCAAACCGACACAGGUAGUCGAGGCGAGUAGCCUCAGGUGAGCGAGAGAACUCUCGUUAAGGAACUCGGCAAAAUGACCCCGUAACUUCGGGAGAAGGGGUGCUGACUUUAAGUCAGCCGCAGUGAAUAGGCCCAAGCAACUGUUUAUCAAAAACACAGCUCUCUGCUAAAUCGUAAGAUGAUGUAUAGGGGGUGACGCCUGCCCGGUGCUGGAAGGUUAAGAGGAGUGCUUAGCGUAAGCGAAGGUAUGAAUUGAAGCCCCAGUAAACGGCGGCCGUAACUAUAACGGUCCUAAGGUAGCGAAAUUCCUUGUCGGGUAAGUUCCGACCCGCACGAAAGGCGUAACGAUUUGGGCACUGUCUCAACGAUGGACUCGGUGAAAUCAUAGUACCUGUGAAGAUGCAGGUUACCCGCGACAGGACGGAAAGACCCCAUGGAGCUUUACUG
rnacentral:rRNA from 1 species